GGGGAUGUGGCGGAACUGGCAGACGCGCUAGAUUUAGGAUCUAGUGUCCUUACGGACGUGCAGGUUCAAUUCCUGUCAUCCCCA
rnacentral:tRNA from 1 species